AAUGGAUUCUGUGAAUUUGCAGAGAAACUGCAGGCGAGGGAGAAGAGUUAAGGGGCCGGAUAUCUGCUGGUUUCCAUUUCUAUGUCUGACGUUUGAUCAGGUUAUGGUUGCCCACAUGAGAGGAAGAGAAGUGUUUCUGAACAGUUGCCCGGAGCAUGAAUGAUGCAUAUCCAAAUGAGCUGCCUGAUUAUAAAGAGCGUGAACCUUGCAGUCAUAACUGCUGUGGCAUUAGCUGCAGGGGACCUCUGGCUCGGGGAUGUGUUGCAGAUGGGUCCUUGUGAGUGCAGAGUUUGCAGAAUCUGGAGGGGCCUUCCAACAACCACUGCCAUCAGUUACAGCUGUACCAUUACUGAGUUAAUGGGUUUCAGGUCAGCUCUUCAGCCGCCAUCGCCGCACUGUGUGGAGCGAGAGCAGAGAGGCAUUUUGCCUUUCCUGACGGGACGGUGAGCAUGAAAUGGAGAGAGAGAAUGAGGGGAGACGCUCAGCGAAGGGAGGGAACCGAAUCUAUGGCAGCUGCAGGAAAGCUCAGUGUCUGUGUCCUCCACCAAUGUAUUCAUUUCUGCAGCAUCUCCUCCCUUUCAUUGUUCAUCUGUUCCUCCAUGUAAGUUGAGAGUGUUUAGCUUUAGCAGUAGAUUUUGGACAAUUAACAUGAACUGUAAUUAGCUAAAAACUAUUUCAUUAAAUUCUGUUGGUUUUGUUGUUGACAGACCAACUUUAUGAUUAUAUAAUUAAAUGGGCCUAAAAACUUGUUCAACCAGAUGAAAUCUUUUUUUAAUUUAACGUUAUUUUGCAAAAAAAAAUAUAUUGAAGGUAAAUAAAGUUUAUUUUCCAUUCAUGAACAUUCAUUUAAUUGUAUUUAUCAAUUGAUAUAUUUAUAAUUAUGCAAUAAAUAUAAGUAAUAUGCUUAACCAGCAAUCUUAAAUCAAGUGGUAAACUGAGUAUUUAUAUUCCUUGAACACUAGGGGGAGAAGUUCUUGCAAUAUAUUCAACAUUAGAUGUAAGAAAGAUGUGUUCUAACUGUUUCUCGAGGUCACACGUCUCUGAGCCCUUUGUCUAUUUCCAUUUCAACCCAUAUUUGAAGAAUUACGUGAUGCAGCCUAUAGAAAUGUCUUAAAUAUAUUGAUUAUGAUGCAUUGCUGGAAAUAAA